rnacentral:rRNA from 1 species
AUUGAACGCUGGCGGCAUGCCUUACACAUGCAAGUCGAACGGUAACAGGUCUUCGGAUGCUGACGAGUGGCGAACGGGUGAGUAAUGCAUCGGAACGUGCCCAGUAGUGGGGGAUAGCCCGGCGAAAGCCGGAUUAAUACCGCAUACGACCUGAGGGGGAAAGGGGGGGAUCGCAAGACCUCUCGCUAUUGGAGCGGCCGAUGUCAGAUUAGCUAGUUGGUGGGAUAAAAGCUUACCAAGCCGACGAUCUGUAGCUGGUCUGAGAGGACGAUCAGCCACACUGGGACUGAGACACGGCCCAGACUCCUACGGGAGGCAGCAGUGGGGAAUUUUGGACAAUGGGCGCAAGCCUGAUCCAGCAAUGCCGCGUGCAGGAUGAAGGCCUUCGGGUUGUAAACUGCUUUUGUACGGAACGAAAAGCCCUGGGUUAAUACCCUGGGGUCAUGACGGUACCGUAAGAAUAAGCACCGGCUAACUACGUGCCAGCCGCCGCAGUAAAAC